UCUGAGAUAGAAAGGGUAAUACUCGUAGGAAACCUUUACUCUUUGGCGGCCUUAUUUCUUAUUGGAGGAACUUGUCUAAUAAUCGAAGGUACCCGUUAAUUUUCACUUCUAAUUCGUUUUUAUACCGUCGUCUUAAGAGCAUUGUGAAAAAAAUUGUCCUAGCCUGGGCUCCUAACUAAGUCAGAUCAAGGUGAAGCUUAUAUAGAAGUUCUGGUGAGUUAUGAAUAAGUGCUACUAUAAGAUUAUUAUUAAAAAGUUAUUUGAAUUAAGAUUCAACAGUACCGCAAAAUUAAGAAUUUUUAGGGAAGAAGUAAAAAAAGGUGU
rnacentral:rRNA from 1 species